GACGAACGCUGGCGGCGCGCUUAACACAUGCAAGUCGAACGGAAAGGCCUGCUUUCCCUUGUGGAUUGCGGGUACUCGAGUGGCGAACGGGUGAGUAACACGUGAGUGAUCUGCCCCCAACUUGGGUAUAAGCCUGGGAAACUGGGUCUAAUUCCCGAUAGGACUGCAGGGUGGUGCCUGUGGUGGAAAACGAUUUUCUAGUGGUUGGGGAUGAGCUCGCGGCCUAUCAGCUUGUUGGUGGGGUAAUGGCCUACCAAGGCGGCGACGGGUAGCCGGCCUGGGAGGGUGGACGGCCACAUUGGGACUGAGAUACGGCCCAGACUCCUACGGGAGGCAGCAGUGGGGAAUAUUGCACAAUGGGGGGAAGCCUGAUGCAGCGACGCCGCGUGGGGGAUGACGGCCUUCGGGUUGUAAACUCCUUUCGACCGCGAGGAAGCCACCUGGUUGGAAGGGUGGUGACGGUAGUGAUAGAAGAAGCACCGGCUAACUACGUG
rnacentral:rRNA from 1 species